AUACGGAGGGUGCAAGCGUUACUCGGAAUCACUGGGCGCAAAGCGCGCGCAGGCGGCUAUUUAAGUUGGAUGUGAAAGCCUACGGCUCAACCGUAGAACUGCAUCCAAAACUAUUUAGCUAGAGUGUGGGAGAGGAAGAUGGAAUUAGUUGUGUAGGGGUAAAAUCCGUAGAGAUAACUAGGAAUACCAAAAGCGAAGGCAAUCUUCUGGAACACUACUGACGCUGAGGCGCGAAAGCGUGGGGAGCAAACGGGAUUAGAAACCCUAGUAGUCC
rnacentral:rRNA from 1 species